UGCUGGGUAGCUCAGUUGGUGGAGCAUGAGACUCUUAUUUUCACGGUCAUGGGUUCAAGCCCAGUGUUGGGCAA